rnacentral:lncRNA from 1 species
AUGACUUCUCAAGAGAAUCAGUCAAGGAGAAGACAAAAGAAAACCUCACCCGCCUCCCUGGAGCUUUACACCUUGGAGAUGUAUGGGAGCGUCUUUGUUGUCGAGGUUGAGGUCAAAUGUCUUAAUCGGAACAUGAGCCUCAGAUCCGUCAUCAGAGCUGGGCGUUCCCGGCGACACCCACGCCUGCAGUGACACCGGCUUCCUGUCGCUCUCUAAGUGCUGCAAAUGAAAAAUGGAAGGCGUCCACGCAGAGCUAAACAAACGGAGCUGGCGUUGGAGAGAGAAAGCACCAGUCAGCACAAAGCACAGUGAGUCCUGUCAGGUCACUGCAGAUGCGUGUUUGACAGAUAAAAGGUCAACGCGACCGAGCUCCUGCUCGAGAUGAGUGACUCCAACAAGCGCAGGUCGCACUCAGUGAAAAAGUGAGCGUGUCGCAGGAAAAGAGAUAAAAACGGGGACAAGGACGGAGGAGGAGCCCUUGUGUUCACAUUCAAACAACACCGAAUCCAUCUCAACGCCAGACUCGCGCCUUCAACCGAUUAGCUCCUCUCAGAUAGUGAUGACAAACUGUGUGCGCUGCCAUAAAGUCUCUCAUUUAAUGUGAAUGAUUAGGCCCAGAGCAUCUUUAAGGGGAAGUGAGGAGGGUCUGUGACGUGGAGGCAGGAUGCACCUUCCCCCAAAUGCUUCAAACCAACCAGAGGGACAGAUCACUAUCACUUCAACUGUCUCCAAAUGACAGAUGCUAUCUGCAGCCGGGGCGACAUAAUUGAAAGAAAAAAAAAAGAUAAAUCUGGAGUUGGCAAAAGCAAAGCCUUCCCUUCAGUUAUCCAUUUUCCAUCAGAAGCGUUUGUUGUUGUUUUUCCUCCUUAAGAUAAAAGGACUGUGAAGCUGUCGAUUUGACCCCUGGAGGCAGUUAUUGUGUGGAAAAUGACUCAGCAUCUUAAUAACAUAACACAGCGCUAAGUGAAACCAGUAUAUUUAUAUGUUUGUCCAUGAAUACAAUAAUAAAGAAACUAAUGCCACUUAGCUUCA